rnacentral:misc_RNA from 1 species
AACGCACAUUGCGCCCCUUGGUAUUCCGAGGGGCACGCCUGUUCGAGCGUCAUUUAAACAAUCAAGCCCUGCUUGGUCUUGGGCGCGGUCGAGUGACCCGUCCGUAACCCGUUGGCGGUGCAGUCCGGCUUCAAGCGUAGCAAAAAUUUCGCUUCAGGAGUCCGUGGCGGUACCUGCCAGGUAACUUAUAACCCAAAGUUUGACCUCGGAUCAGGUGAGGAUACCCGCUGAACUUAA